rnacentral:rRNA from 1 species
AGAGUUUGAUCAUGGCUCAGAUUGAACGCUGGCGGCAGGCCUAACACAUGCAAGUCGAACGGUAACAGGAAGAAGCUUGCUUCUUUGCUGACGAGUGGCGGACGGGUGAGUAAUGUCUGGGAAACUGCCUGAUGGAGGGGGAUAACUACUGGAAGCGGUAGCUAAUACCGCAUAACGUCGCAAGACCAAAGAGGGGGACCUUCGGGCCUCUUGCCAUCGGAUGUGCCCAGAUGGGAUUAGCUAGUAGGUGGGGUAACGGCUCACCUAGGCGACGAUCCCUAGCUGGUCUGAGAGGAUGACCAGCCACACUGGAACUGAGACACGGUCCAGACUCCUACGGGAGGCAGCAGUGGGGAAUAUUGCACAAUGGGCGCAAGCCUGAUGCAGCCAUGCCGCGUGUAUGAAGAAGGCCUUCGGGUUGUAAAGUACUUUCAGCGGGGAGGAAGGGAGUAAAGUUAAUACCUUUGCUCAUUGACGUUACCCGCAGAAGAAGCACCGGCUAACUCCGUGCCAGCAGCCGCGGUAAUACGGAGGGUGCAAGCGUUAAUCGGAAUUACUGGGCGUAAAGCGCACGCAGGCGGUUUGUUAAGUCAGAUGUGAAAUCCCCGGGCUCAACCUGGGAACUGCAUCUGAUACUGGCAAGCUUGAGUCUCGUAGAGGGGGGUAGAAUUCCGGGUGUAGCGGUGAAAUGCGUAGAGAUCUGGAGGAAUACCGGUGGCGAAGGCGGCCCCCUGGACGAAGACUGACGCUCAGGUGCGAAAGCGUGGGGAGCAAACAGGAUUAGACACCCUGGUAGUCCACGCCGUAAACGAUGUCGACUUGGAGGUUGUGCCCUUGAGGCGUGGCUUCCGGAGCUAACGCGUUAAGUCGACCGCCUGGGGAGUAC